rfam:Gemmatimonas sp. SG8_38_2 WOR_8-12_5408, whole genome shotgun sequence.
UGGCCCGUUGUCUAAUGGCAGGACGCUGGACUUUGGAUCCAGAGGUGGAGGUUCGACUCCUCCCGGGCCAA